AGACUUUGAUUAUGGCUCAGAACGAACGCUGGCGGCGCGUUUUAAGCAUGCAAGUCGAGCGGCAAGGGCCUUCGGGCCCCUAGAGCGGCGGACGGGUGAGUAACACGUGGACAAUCUGCCCCCCGGCCGGGGAUAGCCCAGGAAACCUGGAUUAAUACCGGAUGAGACGGGACGCACGAGGGUGCGAUCCGGGAAAGGCGCUGCGGCGCCGCCGGGGGAUGAGUCCGCGACCCAUUAGCUAGACGGCGGGGUAAAGGCCCACCGUGGCGACGAUGGGUAGCCGGCCUGAGAGGGUGGACGGCCACAUUGGGACUGAGACACGGUCCAGACUCCUACGGGAGGCAGCAGCUAAGAAUCUUCCGCAAUGGGCGAAAGCCUGACGGAGCGACGCCGCGUGAACGAAGAAGGCCGUGAGGUUGUAAAGUUCUUUUCGGGAGGGGGAAUGACCGUGGCAGGGCAAUGGCCGCGGGAUGACGUGAAUCCCGGAAUAAGCCCCGGCUAACUACGUGCCAGCAGCCGCGGUAACACGUAGGGGCGAGCGUUGUUCGGAAUCAUUGGGCGUAAAGGGCGUGCAGGCGGCACUGCAAGUCCGGCGUGAAAGACCCCGGCCCAACCGGGGGGGUGCGCUGGAAACUGCGGUGCUUGAGUACAGGAGGGGAUGCCGGAAUUCCAGGUGUAGGGGUGAAAUCUGUUAGAUAUCUGGAAGAACACCGAUGGCGAAGGCAGGCAUCUGGGCCAUGUUCUGACGCUUGAGACGC
rnacentral:rRNA from 1 species